GGGCGCGCGAGGCUCGUCAGCCGUGGCUGAUUGCGGCUUUUCGUGUUUUAAGAUAAAUUUUGCCGGGGAUGGAGAAUGAGGUAGAAUUUAUCAUGGGAUGAAGGAUGCCUAAAUGCCUCUUCUCUUUCCCUGAGGAUUAUUCCAUGCGAGAGAUGAAAGGCGGUCAGAAAUAAAUGCACUUUAUUGUCACUCACACUCACAGGAAUCACAUAUUGGAUAGUGGUUGGUGAAUCCAUGGCUUGUAUCUGCAGAGAAAAUAUCAUUUGAAACUUCUUGCUUUCUUGAUGGACAAAGAGUAAAAAAAAUGCCACGUCCUCGUACUUGCUGGCUGCAUUCCUACCUUCUCCAGAAGUGGCCACCAUCCCUUGAUUUGUCAAAAGAGGGAGUGCUAAAAACACUUA